AUUGAACGCUGGCGGAAUGCUUUACACAUGCAAGUCGAGCGGCAGCACGGGGGCAACCCUGGUGGCGAGCGGCGAACGGGUGAGUAAUACAUCGGAACAUGCCCAGUCGUGGGGGAUAACACUUCGAAAGAAGUGCUAAUACCGCAUACGUCCUGAGGGAGAAAGCGGGGGAUCGCAAGACCUCGCGCGAUUUGAGUGGCCGAUGUCAGAUUAGCUAGUUGGUGGGGUAAAGGCCUACCAAGGCAACGAUCUGUAGCUGGUCUGAGAGGAUGAUCAGCCACACUGGGACUGAGACACGGCCCAGACUCCUACGGGAGGCAGCAGUGGGGAAUUUUGGACAAUGGGGGCAACCCUGAUCCAGCCAUGCCGCGUGAGUGAAGAAGGCCUUCGGGUUGUAAAGCUCUUUCGGCAGGAACGAAACGGCGAGCUCUAACAUAGCUUGCUAAUGACGGUACCUGAAGAAGAAGCACCGGCUAACUACGUG
rnacentral:rRNA from 1 species